CAGACGCACCAGGAGCCUGGUGAACCAUUCUGGGCUGUCAAAACACAAGGCUCCGUGCUCAAUCCCAAUAACUCGAGUGAUGAUUAAUGAGCGGCUUGAUCAUUUUAAUAUCUCAUGUGAUUAAAUUAUAAGGCGUGGGGGAGGGGAGCUCCGCACACUCCCGACCGCGGUGGGGGACACGGAUCAGCCAGCGAGUACCGGCAGCGCUCGAGCGGUGCACUCCUGCUUCGAACGUCGCCUGGUGUGGCUCCGACACCGUGGGUCGGCGCCUUCUCAAGAUCACUUCAGUUUGAUGAUGUUUGAGAUCGACAGUUUGAGAUCUGCAGAACAGCUUUCCAAACCGGCGGCCGGCGCAACCGGCGGUAUUGUUCCGCAGGACUUGCCGAAGAAAGUAGAGCCAGAACAAUGUUCUGGAAGAUCACAGGUUACUGGCGCUGAGGAAUGGAGAACUGAGAAUGAGGUAUUCCCAUGGACGACUCAUCUCCCUUCACUUCAGUCUGGCUGCUGGUCCAGGAGACAUACCAAAUUAUUUAUUAUCCUGGGCAGUAGAAAGUAGCACCUAAGCCCAUGGGAAGUAGAGAAACAAAGAAAUAAGAACCUAGGGAAGAUUUCAGAACAAAUGAAGACGUUUGUGUGGCUUGGCAGUCAGUUGAUGGCUAUCCCUCAAGUCUUUGGACUCUAGUUUCCUAUGCUGUGAUUCAACUCUUAAUCAUGAGGUUUCCAAAGAUAGAGUAUGUCUGUGGGAAAAUGGGCCAUCAUGUCUCUAGGAUGUACACAGGGCUUCUCUCCCACCUCUUUCUUUUCCACACUUUCCUUCCUUCCUUCCU